UGGCUUAGGGUUCCUCAAAUGAAUGUUUACUCCAUUUUGGGCUUGUAUUGUGUGCAGCCUCCCUUUUCUCCAGGCUGGACAUUUUCAUAGCGUCUCUCUCUCUCUCUCUCUCUCUCUCUCUCUCUCUCUCUCUCGCUCUCGUACUCGCUCUAUCCCCCCCUCUCUUUUUAUCUCUCUCUUUCACUCUCGUUCUCUUUUUUUACUGUGCUCCUUGUUUCCUCAGUUCAAAUGCAGCCAUCUGCCACAUCUAGGGCAGCUGUUGCUGAACAGGAAAGGAUCGCCUCAGCGGUGCACACUGGGUGCUGUAGUCCCUGGAGCAACAUAGCCAUCUACCUACACUCAACAUAGCCCAGCCCCAUCGUGUCCCAUCUCCACUCAACAUAGCCCAGCCCCAUCAUGUCCCAUCUCCACUCAACAUAGCCCAGCCCCAUUGUGCUCGUGUCCCAUCUCUCUCCCUCUCUCUGUUCUAAAGGCAUCUCCACGGUGACCAGCUUGUGUCCCAUCUCUCUCUCCCUCUCGGUUCUAAAAGCAUCUCCACGGUGACCAGCUCGUGUCCCAUCUCUCUCUCCCUCUCGGUUCUAAAGGCAUCUCCACGGCGACCAGCUCAUGUCCCAUCCCUCCCUCUCGGUUCUAAAGGCAUCUCCAUGGUGACCAGCUUGUGUCCCAUCUCUCUCUCCCUCUCAGUUCUAAAGGCAUCUCCACGGCGACCAGCUUGUGUCCCCUCUCUCUCUCCCUCUCGGUUCUAAAGGCAUCUACACUGUGCUCGUGUCCCAUCUCUCUCUCCCUCUCUGUUCUAAAGGCAUCUCCACGGCGACCAGCUCGUGUCCCAUCUCUCUCUCCCUCUCGGUUCUAAAGGCAUCUCCACUGCGACCAGCUCAUUUGGGCUCAGAUGGGUGACUUGUGCUCGUAUUGGUUCCAGUAAUCCAUCUGUGGCUAAAAGAAAGGGAUGGCCUGCAGGGGAAUAAAGGAGAAAAGAGAGAAGAGGAGGCAAGAGGAGAAAGAGAAAGAUAGAGAGAGGGGGGGAGAAAGAGAUAGAUAUAGAGAAAUCAUGGAGGCAACCAAACGUAGAGUGUUGGAUAAAGAGAGACAGAUAUUGUGUAGACAGAAUGAAAUAGACCUUAAUGUAAUUCCAGACUCCCCAUAUCAUCCACUUGUCUCAUGAGGAGAGCUGAGCGUGUUUGCCUCCCGUGUUCUCCCCUGAGGAGAGUAUGAGAGCUGAGCGUGUUUGAGCUGUGCGUGUUUGCCUCCCGUGUUCUCCCCUGAGGGGGAGUGUGCACUCUGAUUGGGGAAUCGGUUUGUGUGUCACAUCCAGCGGCUGAUUUAAUCGCCGGCGGAGUUGACGGCCCUCAUUUCCGUGCUUGUAGAAAUAACACCCGACCGCGAACGAUAAUUGCUCCUAAUUGAAAUGUCUUUAGCUGCAGCUCACUGGAAUCUAAUGAGACGCAUCAGAUGAUGAAAACAAGGAAAGGGUGCAUCGG
ensembl:lncRNA